CCCUCCUCCCGAGCCUGUCCCCUGGCCGCCGCGCGGGAGGGAGGCCGAGAUGGCAGAUGAGAUCGCCAAGGCUCAGGUCCCCUGGCCUGGUGGCGACACGAUCUUCGGGAAGAUCAUCCACAAGGAAAUCCCAACCAAAAUCAUUUUUGAGGAUGAUCGGUGUCUUGCUUUCCAUGACAUUUCCUCAAGCGCCAACAUAUUUUCUGGUGAUACCCAAGAGACACAUACCCCAGAUUUCUGCAACAGAAGAUGAUGAUGAAAGUCUUCUUGAACAUUUAAUGAUUGUUGGCAAGAAAUGUGCUGCUGAUCUGGGCCUGAAUAAGGGUUAUCGAAUGGUGGUGAAUGAAGGUUCUGAUGGGGGACAGUCUGUCUAUCACAUUCAUCUCCAUGUUCUUGGAGGUCGUCAGAUGCAGUGGCCUUCUGGUUAAACCUGUUUGGGGGAUAAUUUUCCCUUCUCUAGGCAAUUACCAAGUUUGCAGGUUCCAAUAUGUUAAGUGGCACACUUAUUUUUGCCUGUGUAUGGAGAGAUUCAGGAAAUAAUUUUAAAAACCCAUACAUAAUAAUAAAGGAUAUUGUUGCAUGUUAAAAAAAAAAGAAAA